rnacentral:rRNA from 1 species
GAUGAACGCUGGCGGCGUGCCUAAUACAUGCAAGUAGAACGCUGAAGGAAGGAGCUUGCUCUUUCCGGAUGAGUUGCGAACGGGUGAGUAACGCGUAGGUAACCUGCCUGGUAGCGGGGGAUAACUAUUGGAAACGAUAGCUAAUACCGCAUAACAGUAGAUGUUGCAUGAUAUCUACUUAAAAGGUGCAAUUGCACCACUACCAGAUGGACCUGCGUUGUAUUAGCUAGUUGGUGAGGUAACGGCUCACCAAGGCGACGAUACAUAGCCGACCUGAGAGGGUGAUCGGCCACACUGGGACUGAGACACGGCCCAGACUCCUACGGGAGGCAGCAGUAGGGAAUCUUCGGCAAAGGACGGAAGUCUGACCGAGCAACGCCGCGUGAGUGAAGAAGGUUUUCGGAUCGUAAAGCUCUGUUGUAAGAGAAGAACGAGUGUGAGAGUGGAAAGUUCACACUGUGACGGUAUCUUACCAGAAAGGGACGGCUAACUACGUG